ACGAACGCUGGCGGCGUGGAUAAGGCAUGCAAGUCGUGUGGGUUUAGACCCACGGCGAACGGGGUAGUAACACGUGGGUACUUACCUCAAAGAUGGGCAUAACUAGUCGAAAGAUUAGAUAAUUCCCAAUAGUCCCGAAAGGGUAAAGGAGUAAUCCGCUUUGAGAAAGGCCUGCGGGCUAUCAGCUAGUUGGUAAGGUAACGGCUUACCAAGGCAAUGACGGCUAGGGGGGGUGAGAGCCUGUUCCCCACCAAUGGUACUGCGACACGGACCAUACACCUACGGGUGGCUGCAGUCGAGAAUCUUCCACAAUGGGCGAAAGCCUGAUGGAGCGACGCCGCGUGCAUGAUGACGCUCUUCGGAGUGUAAAGUGCUUUUAUAGGGGAAAAACUUACGUGAUGGUACCCUAAGAAUAAGGGGUUGCUAAACUCGU
rnacentral:rRNA from 1 species